rnacentral:misc_RNA from 1 species
UGGGCAGCAGGCAAGCACUAGCAGUAGCUCAACAUACCCAUAUCUAGUCCGUCCCUGACAAAGUUUGCCAGAUCAGUACUUUGAUCAUUAGCGCUCUAUAGAUUCACCUUUUGCCGAAUUCCGUGACUAGGUUACAAUCUGUGAUGAGGCUUGAUGGUUGCUUUUUUUCCCUUUGAUAUUUUCAAACUUUGGUAUGCUAAGGGACUUGUGGAUGGGGCUUUUUUGUAUAGGUCGACGACAGAUUGUAAUAUAUAGUUAAAAA